CAUUAAUUCUCGCAAAACCACAAGCCAGUAAAAUAAACUCAGUUUAUUUUUUUUUAGGAAUUUCUGGAUUUUUAGACUCUGAUGUGUAAUGGAUCUUCAUAGCGAUUCAUUAUGAUAAAAAGUCAUAACACACCAAAGAGUCUUAACACUUCAAAAAUUCCUAAAACAAAAACUGAGUACCCCAAUGGCUUGUGGGUAGGGGGGUAGUUGGCACCCAAUGUGCCCUACCCCCCAACCCACUUUGGACCACCUUGGCACUACCCACAGGGAGUAAUGGGGCCACUUUGAAUCUCCAUUAUUCCCUAUGACACAAAAAAUGAAAUCACUCUAAAUUCAAAACUUCCUUUAAACAUUACCCCUUUGCCUAAUCCCUCUAGGGUUUGGGUGGUAGUUGCCACCCAUUGGGCAUUAUCACCCCACCCACUCUGGUGCCACCUGGCCCUUUAAAUUUCCCCCUAAUUGAUUCAAAUCCAAAUCAAAUUGAAUACAAUUUGAAUCAAAUCUGGGCUGAUUUGAGGGGGCAAGAUUCAAGGUCGAAUCAAAUCUGGCUGAUUCCAUUUGACCUUGAAUCAAAUAGCAAAAAAUGAUUUGUGCACAUUUCUACCCUAGAGAGUGUGUACCACACACUGAGAAACUAUUUCCGCCUAGAGUCAACUAGGCGCCUCUACAACACACAGGUAUUUCCGGGCAGACCAUCAUUCGUGUCAGAGUGUGGUCUGUAGGCACAUAAUGCAGCCACAUUCCUGAAGCUAAGCAGGUUUAGGUCUGUUCUGUUCCUGGAAUAGAGAUUGCCAUAUAACUGGAUCUCCAAUAUUGUGUUGCUCAAUGAAGAAAACAAAAAGGGAGUCCGAACAUUGCUUUUAAAAAAAAUGUUCUCGGGCUUUUGCAUCAGCUUGACUGCAGGAAACAGGGACUGCCAUGUGCAUAAAAACUACAACCUGCUUCAGAACAAUUGGGUUGUUGUAAGGGAGGAGGGGGAAAGAAGCCAGGAGCUUUGUCUGGGCUCUCACUCUCCUCAGAGCUUUAUUGAGUGUGGGAUGCUUUGCCCUUUUCUCCUCCCUUGUGCAACUGCUCUGAUUCUUCCGUUUCUGCUUGUGUGUUCUGGGGAGGCGGGGAGGGGGCAGCGAAUGUUCUGCACAAUGCAGUGAAUAUCUCAGAGGACAGGUCAAGCAUUCUUAAGCAGCUGCAGCCUGAGAGAUUUUCUCUUUGAUUCCCAAGUGGGGCACAAAAGCAAGAGACCCUCCCUGACCCUCCCACCGGCACUGCUACACUCUGCUAAACAAAAGCCAAGAAAGAAAAGGCUGUGAUGACAGGCAAUGGUUUAGUUGAGGGUUGCUGAGUGGCAGCUUCUCUGCAUCUUACGGCUCAUUGAUAUGCUGCGAGCUGUAGGCACCAAUCUAUGGUGCUUGAAGUACGCAUUUGGUGCUCCUUUUGCCCAUCCAAAAGGUGCCAUCUAGAAAGGAAAUGUAUACUUGCAUGUAGUUUAGGGCACUUCAAGGCCUUCCUUGCAGACACUAUAAUGUCAGCUUAGCUGGAGCAUAGCUCUGCUAAUAGAGUGGUGGUGGGGAAUAGAAGAAAUAAUGGCAACUCAGCGGGCUGUUACAGGCGAAAGGGGGGAAUCAGAAAUCUACUAGCUGUUUCUCCUUCCAGCUGUCCUGCCAGCUCUUUGACCUUGGGGAACAGUGCCACCCACCCACAGAGCCUCACUUUUCUCCUUUGUAAUGCCAGGCUUCCAGGUUUCCAGGUCUCUCAGCUCUCCUGCUUCUGUUGUCUUUUCUAUGGUUUUUGGUGUUUGGGGUGUUUUUUGGUUUUUAUUGUUUAACUGAUUUUAAGAUUUUAAAUUAUUUGUAUGAAAAUUUAUUGUAUUUUAACUUUUGUAAACCACCCUCUGAUACUUUAUAAAAGGUGGUAUAAAAACUGAGCAAUAAAUAAAUAAAUGGCUCAAAUAUCAUACUGCAUUACUUAAACACUAUUCACACAUUGCUUUCAAUAUACAUACAGUCUGUGUACAGUGUAUACAAUCUGUGUAGAAUGUGUGUACAGACCUGUGUGCAGAUUCAUAUGCAUGUACAGUUAUUUAGAAAUUAUAUUUAUAAUUUAUUAUUUAUCUUUAUAUCCUGCCUUAUAUAAAAUCCCAAGGUGACUAACAAAAAUCAAAAGAUAAUAUGCUGAACACAGAUUACUAAAUAUUAAUAAGAGCUGGUAUCCAGAUUAAGUUACUCAGUAGUAUUAUGCAAGUGUUACUCUAAAGGACUACUUAAUUUCAAUAGGACUUCAGCUGAGUAAUUUAGUCUGGAUGUCAGACAAAAAAAAGUAACAGCAUAUUGCGACCAUAGGAAUAUAUGAUAUAACCACAUCAUCAAAUCAGCACAGCAGUCAGACCAAAGGAACAGGGGAACAGAACUGCCUUUUCUUGCCACUGAAAAGCAGACAAGUUUGGGAGGUAACAAACAGCCACAGGGAAAAUGUUCCGCAAUCUGGGGCCAGUAACAGAGAAGGCCCUGUCCCACCUGCAUGGCAACUGAGCCUCUUGUGAUGUUGGCAUGUGAAGCAGAGUGCCCUCUGCUCAUCUUGUAAGAUGGGCAAUCACUUGAGGGGAAAGGUGGUUCUUCAAAUACUUGGAGCCAAAGCCAUUAAGGGCUUUAAAGGCUAUCAGUGGCCCUUUGAAUAGGGCUCAGAAACACACAGGCAACCAGUGCAGCUCUUCAAGGAUAGGAGUAAAGUGCUCCCACAGUGUGGACCCAGGGAGAACUCUGACCGCCGUGUUUUGUUGUAGCCGAAGUUUCUGGAUACUCUUCAAGGGCAGCCUCAUGGAGAGUGCAUUGCUGUAGUCCAAGCACAACAUGACGUUCAACACAUUACGUUCAACACACGUACAGUACUACACUUUGUAUCUGUACCCUGCAUUUCAGGGGGACCACACUCAGAUUCAAUUUUAAGAUAAAUGCAUGUACAAUCAUGAACAAAAACGUGUACAUGUGUACUACAGAGGACAUCCCCCCCCCAAAUGUUGUGAUUUCCCUGUCUUAGGUUUAGUCAGUUUGACCACUCCCGAAGAACUCCAUGUUUAGCUGUAAGACUAGGCUCCAAGAGGGGCCCUGAGCCACUAUUAAAUGUUUGUAGGCUAGUAACUUUUCUGGAAUUUAGGGAGCUGCCUAAAUUCGUACUGAGCCUAUCUAGCUCAUGUUGGAAGUUCAGCUCAAAACUGUUUACAUCAACUGGCAGCAGUGCUUUAGGCUUUCAGACAAGGGUCUUUCCCAACCCCACCUGGAAAUGCCAGGGAUUGAACCUGGGACUUUCUGCAUACCAUGCAGGUGCUCUUCCACUGAGCUAUGGUCCUUCCUCAGGAUGCAUUUGACUGAUUUGCACAGCUAAGGGCUUUAUUAAAAAAGCAGACCUCCUCAAAUUGUUAAUAUGAAGUUUGACUUGGAGAUCUAGUUCAACACAGCUUUGUUUCCCAGGUGAACUUUUUUUUUCCCUUAAAGGAAAAAAGAAGUAAAACUUGAAGUGCCUGACAGCCCUGGGGAGACAACCCUUCUAUUCAUCCAUAGCUCAGCUAACAAGCAGGCAGCCAAUUCUCUCCCUACCUCUUGAAAGCAACUCAAAGCUUUGAAGCUGGCAUCACCUGUCCAGGAUGUUGACAGCCAUUCAUCUUUGCCUGUGCAGCCGCUUUGAAGUCUUCUUGUGCCUCUGUUCUUAAAAACUCCUUGGGGACCACAAUAUUAAAAGAGAAGCGUCACGAAGUAUGUUUUCUGUGAUUAUCUGUGUAAAUAUUUAAUAGUUAUGCUUUCUCCCCCACCCACUCCUUUCAGUUUGCUAACUAAUAUGAGUUUAUAUAACACAGAUCAAGAACAGAACAGAGACAAGUGUAAAGGCCUGCUGGUGUGCUGCAUGGUCAGCAUCAGGGCACACGUGUGCCCACCAUUUCCCAGCCAGUUCACUCUGGAUGGAGUAUUGGUCUUGUGGUAGCGAGCAUGAAUUGCCCCCUUUGCUAAGCAGGGUCCACCAUAGUUUGCAUUGGAAUGGGAGACUAAAUGUGUGAGCACUGUAGGAUAUUCCCCUUAGGGGAUGGGGCCAUAGCUCAGGGGAAGAGCAUACCUGUUGGGAUGCCACCUUACCUGGUUGCCGGUGUGGCCCUGUAGAGUCCAGCAGAGAGCGUGGCAUCCCUCCUUUGAGGCUUCUGUUGUCCCCUGAAGGGAGCCAGAGUGAAAUGGUUCCAGGCUGGGUGGGUCCUGGUGGGGUUGAGCAGGAGAGGCAGGGAUUGCUACAGGGAACAGCUCCAGUGGGGCAGCCAUGUUCAGCGUGGCAGGAAGCAGGAAAUGAGACCAGGGAGGGGAUGGAGCUUGGAGUAGUAGGCUUUAAGCCCUGUCAACUCUGUAUUGGGGCAUUUAAAGCCAAGGCAGCCAAUGAUGAGGGCUGCUCUUGAGCAUGGGAGUUGGAAAUUCCCCUGGAGAGGGAACUGGCUGGAUGCAGCAAGCCAGGAGGAGGGCUGAGAACCAGGAAGCUGAGAACCAGGAGGAGGGCUGAGAAGCCAGGAGGAGGGCUGAGAACCUCCUCCCCUGGUCCACUCUGAGGCUGACCUUGUCUAUUCCCAUCCUAAUUCUGGGAUCAAGAAAGGCCAGGAACACACUUCCUCCACCUUGGAGCCUUACAAUACCCAUGCAGCAAAAGGUCCUAGGUUCCCUCCCUGGCAUCUCCAAGAUAAGGCUGAGAAAGACUCCUCCCUGUAAGCAUGGAGAAGCUGCUGCCAGUCUGUGUAGACAAUACUGAGCUAGAUGGACCAAUGUUCUGACUCAGUACAUGGCAGCUUCCUAUGUCCCUAAGGUCCCACUGGCUAUGCCAAGAACAUUUGUCCAGUUCUCAGCAAGGUAUGACAUUUGCUACUUUAAUAAAGAGGGAGGAAAGAAUGAGGGGCUCACAGAGAACACUUAGCCUGCCCCUGCCCCAAACAAUUUCAGACCUUAAAGAAGAGGAACUUGAUUCAUCCCUCUUCCCUAGACUGCAGUGUCUUUCCGGGGAUAAAGAAACUAGACACCUAAACCGUUUUUCAGGCUUUCUCCUCACCUGCUGAGCCUUCACCUCUCCUCUCCCACUUCACCAGAGGAGGGAGGUUUUAUCUGUUAGCAAAGGGAAGCCAGUCCAUUUUUUGAUCACUGCUGUGAGCAGGGUUGCUUCCAGGCUGAAGCUAGCUGCUGUCAUCAUCUAGAGGAGUUUCCAGAUGGAUAAAUAUUCAGUUUUAAAAUGAAAAUUCUUACCUCUCCUGAUGAUGUCCUUGGCUGUUGCACAAUUUUACAGCGCCCUCUGCUGGCCACUUGCUGCCCAUCCAUGAUGAGAAUGAAUAACGUCUCAAAAACCUCAGCUCUCAUGGAUUGGUAGCAAAUGGCCAGCAGAUGGUACUGUGAAAUAGCACAAUAGUCAAGAAUACUAUCUGGAUGAUGAGUAGAAAAGGCAGUAAGAAUUGUUUUUCAGUUGAGUAUUUCUAGAAGAUUGAGUAUUUCUGGAAGAUGACAGAGCCUAAUGCAACAGGGUGGCAGACAAAGAAAGAAUUCUUCCUCUUUGUGAGCCAAAAUUCCAAAAGAACAUCAGGGUCACUCAAAUUUUCUAGAUAUGAUUGCAAGAGGAAAAUAAAUUCAUGACUAAUGCUUGAACAAAAGGGCCACUCUGAACACAGGUAGUACUAUUCUAUAGAGAAAUGGGAAUUGUUUGACUUCCCAUAUUUUUCCCCCAUGGCUUACCUCCGUAUAUACCAUUUAACAUCACUACAUAUGAAACAAUACUCUUACUUGUAGAGAGAUGCCACUGUAGUGCCUUGAAUGAAUGUAUAACUUCUGCUUAAAGUAAUGUUACCUGAAGACUAAAUAUAAAUGGAAGAUGGACAAAGAGGAAAACAUCCAGCUGAGCAGUAUCUACACCAGCACCACUCUUUUAAUGUUAUACAGUUUAAUUAUAUCAUGUUUAUGCUCACAACAUAGGUAAGUCACUAUUAUCCCUAUUUGACAGGUAAGCAGUUGAGGCUAAGAUACAAUGAGCCCAUUGAUAUGGGGGUGGAUGGGGGCGAGUAAAGAGCUCUUAUUCUGAUCUCCACAGAUGCAGAAUAUCCAUUGGGUCUGCAAGUCCACCACCCAGAUGAGCACAACAGCUCUGGUCUCCAUUUUUGAAAUUGGGAGCUGGGGCCUCCAAGGAUCGGAGUCUGGAUAUUUUUAAUUUUGAAUUGCUCUUUAGGUUUUUUUGUUGCUAUAAUUUCUAGAUUUUUAAUUUAAAAUAAAUAAAUAAAUAAAUAAAUCCUGUUUUAA